rnacentral:rRNA from 1 species
AUACGGAGGAUCCAAGCGUUAUCCGGAAUCAUAGGGUUUAAAGGGUCCGUAGGCGGGUUUGUAAGUCAGUGGUGAAAGUUUUCGGCUCAACCGGAAAAUUGCCAAUGAUACUGCAAGUCUUGAAUCAUUAUGAAGUGGUUAGAAUGUGUAGUGUAGCGGUGAAAUGCAUAGAUAUUACACAGAAUACCGAUUGCGAAGGCAGAUCACUAAUAAUGUAUUGACGCUAAGGGACGAAAGCGUGGGUAGCGAACAGGAUUAGAAACCCUGGUAGUCC